CCUUGACUGAUAACAACCAACCUUCAGUAAAAUAACACAGGGUAUGUUAUUAAUAUUAUCUAUCUCAUUACCUAUCUCUGGUUAAAUACUUCUCUUCACUCACAUUUUCUUAAUAAGUCCUAUUUACCAAUUGUUUAACCAUAUUUUGUGAUUCUCUGAACCAUCCACUAGCUUUAGCAUCGAAUGCUGACUCAUGAUUAGAAAGUAGCAAAGUGAAUGGUGGCUAGUCCAUCUCUUUGCUCGAGGUCCGUUGGACCAAGCCUAGUUUGCUCCAAAAGAAAGAAUGUCCUAGGCUCAGACCAGCUCCAUUUCAUGUUAUUCUUCUGUACCUACCCCAAACUACCUUAUACUUACUAUUCAGCAGCUCACUCACACCUGAAAACCCCUAAUUUAGUGCACGAAUUUCCCUGGUCUCACCCACAGUCCUAUGAAUCUCAUAAAACCCCUUGAAUUCACACAAGAGCAAAAGUUUUCUUGCAGUAAUGGCCCAGAAUUCUUUAAAAGGACAGUGGAGAAAAUUGUAGACUUGAGAGGUGGCACCGAACAUGCCUAAUUCGACUGAAAGUUUUCUUUUUUCCCUAUUGGCCAUUUUCAGUCAAUUAAACUCUACAAUUUGAGAGCAUUCCUUUGGAUGUUAAAACAUUGUCAUUAUCAGUUGUGACUUCACUGGCAUCAAUCAAGUUCUUAUAUUGGCUGUAGUGACCAGUCCUUAUGAACAUGCAAGUUGGGUUAUGUGACGGCCAGAGCGUGGGGUACUGCCUGUCGGGGUGCUAGCUUUGUCUUGCCAGAGCACAAAAUCCUGGGAGUGUGGGGUGCAUGGAAACAGAGGGAGGGGCACCAAAGGAAGAGGUAAGAAUAGAUAAUUCAAAUAAACCCCUCACAAAUUGGCUUGUGCUUUGAGAAUACGAGUUGUGCAGAUUCCAACCGAAAAGAAACAAAUGUGCUCCAUGAGGUCAGACUUUGUCUACCGAGAAAACUCAUGCAGUAGUCAUGCCUUGGAGAAUUUCCCGUCGAUAACAAGAUCAACAUUUGAUCAACAACUCCACAAUAUCUGCAAGAAACAUAUGUACCAGCUGAAUGCCGCUGAAGAAAAUCGUUAUAGGAUUAGCAGUUUUCUGACCCACUUACUAAAAAAAAGCCGAAUCACUCAACUGAGACCCCAGGGAAAUGCAGAUUUAUACCUUUGACGUAUUACUUGGCUUUUCUUCAAUUAACUUAAAUUCUGUAACCAGUUUUUGAGUCUUUGCCAUCUUCUUUUCUUUUAAUUGGGUGAUUUUAUAUGCCUUCUUGAAUAUAAGCCUUUGCAAAUUCUUGGUUUUUCUAAAUGCAAAUGUAUAAUGAAACCUGCA